rnacentral:sRNA from 1 species
GGGAUCUUCUGUACUUGCCGACGGCAGACCGAAUGGCUCUCUACAACCUAUGUAUCUGUAGAUAUCCUGGGGCUCCGGACAGCCAGGAAUCAGGCUGCUUGCUAUCUUAGUGGCACAGUUCUGUCCCUAGUUAGCUUCUGGAGUCACGUGCACACGUGAGGUCCUAGUACCUGCCACUGUGGGACUUCUGUGUUCUCAGCAGCUGCUGUCAUCAACGUUUUGAUAAAUGUCUUAGGAAACGGAACUUAGUGGUAAGAAUCAAAGCAGAGACUGGUGUCAAGGAUGGCAGUGGAGCCUGAGGCUUCAGGAUGGGGGUGGGGCACUGGAGUGUGUGAGGAUAAGCAAGGGAGGGGUACCCUGAGGCUCAAAGCCAGCUCUGACUGACAUACCUGCAGGGGUUAACCUUUGCUUGGCCAGGUAUGCACUGCCUAUGUGACUGGGAGCCUGGGGAAGAGGAGACCAAGGGCUGAGAACCCUUGCUAAGGACCUGAGCACGAGCUAAGCUGUCCCCAUGCCUGAUGCUUCUAUUUCUAGACUUUCCUACUUAGAGUGAUUUAAUAUCUACGUGGAAAUGCUGAAGUAAGAAAUGACUACAAGAAAAUGGGAGAAUUUCCAGAAGCCAUCUGACUUUCAUAAGGCAAUGAGGAUGUAUCCAGAAGCCAAGGGCGCAGUUGGGAGAUGAGGAGGAGGGAAGUAAGCCUUCGCCAAGGGCGAGCAGCUUGAAUGUUCCUCGGAACACUAGGAAAGAAGUGACCAGGAACUUCUUCACCUGGGCAGCAUCAAGAAAUGCUGGGGGUUGGGCCGUCCCCUGGCACCAGGGUUAAAUCAGUCUGGGGAGUGCCUGGAUAAUUUCUGGAUAAUUCUGUUGUGCAACUGAGUUUUGGGCCCAGUGCUUUAGAAAGGCUUCUCUUCUGGAGAUGAAGAUGAGGACUCAUUGCAAAACAUCUGGCCUGCUAUGGAUCCCAGCUCGGGGGCAGGCUGCCUGCUGAGAACAGUGCAGGCGAGGCAGUCUCUACCCUAGCGGACACAUUACUUACUCCCCACAGGGAGUCUCUGGGUGCCCCAGACUAAGGCAAGUAAGACGGGCAUGGAUGGUGUGUAGAACGAAGAUCUCACCCGACACGGCAACAUCCAGGGCUCUAGCAAGCCUGCUGUGGGUCCCGUGUGCUACCCAAGCAUGUAAACUCACCCUUUGCCCAAACAGGUAAGCCUCCCCUAAACCUGGGUUUAAAAGAGGCAAAAUACCAACAUGGGUCUCGGCCUAGAAAUUCCAGAGCCAGGGAAUUUCUACUGCAGCAAGCCAGCAGCCACGAGGACAUCCUCAUCCUGGGGACACGAAAAAUCCAGACUCACCAUUACUGUUUGAAUGUGAACAGUGUCCCAUGGAUUGUGGAACCUUGGUGCCUGGCUGACCGUGCUGUUCUGGGGAACUAAGAAGCCUUUGGGAGAAGGGCCUGGAAGGUGACACUUGUUUCUACCUCCCCUCUCCACCCCCCAAGA